ACACUUUGUUUCAUUGACCGAAUCCAUAGUGAGUGUAUGAAUAAUUUUAUUCAACUAAUAGUACAAAAAAUAUCAUUAAAAUAUUUUCCAAGUAAUAUAUAAUUCAAGUCUUAUGAGAUUGAUGAUGGAACAAAUAUAUAAUUUUUCUACCAAUAUUUACGAUAUGAAUACACCGUUAUUGAAUGCUUUCAGAGUACCCUGUAUAUUUAUAAUUGUUAUUUCUAUCUAAUCACGUAGGCUUAUAUAUGUUAAAUAGUUGAAAGAUAAGAGGUGAUCCAUAAUAUGUUUGUAGUUGUUAUUUAUUUGUUGUGAGUACCAUGUAGGAAUAUCACAUGACACUUUAGGAGUACCUAAUAAUUUCUCCAUUUUCAUGAUCUAAUAUGUAAAUCAACAAAAGUCCUAAGAAACGACUUAAUCCACGAGUCAUGAGUCAUAUUCACAACUACUAGCUUUUAAAGUCGUCAAUCAUACGCCUAGCCUCACUAGACCUUGUGGGUCGUUUUGUUCACUUUACAUUAAGUGUAAAUUAUUACUUUGCACCAUAUAUUUUUAUGAAAAAAAAAAAACACUUUGGGCCUUACUGAGUAGUGUAAUGACGGAAAGCCCCCCCCAAGGGGUUGGGAGUGGUGAGAGACACUGUGGUUGUGGUGGGGGGGCUAUGCAAUGGAAGGUGGGCUAUGGUGUUUCGGGGCUUAGGUAGGCCCACUAUGGUUUGUAUUGGAGGAAGAAGAUGAAAUUUUGGAGGUGGAAACGCGGACAUAAGGGUAGAAAAUAAUAGAACCCAAUUGCUUUUUUUAAAAUGCUAUUUGGGGAAGGUUGUAGAUAGAAAAUAAGUGGGUUGUAAAAUAGAAGUGACAAAUGGUGGAUCUCAGUUGGUGAUCUAAGUUUGACAUAGCUAACAAGGUAGUGCUUAUUGUUGCGUUCUUCGUCAUGAAUCGGACAAUCGCUUCAUUAGUGGGGUUGAUUGCAAACGAUGUAAACAAGUCACUUCUGCAAUUUGAAGGAAAAAAUUCUGAAAUUUGACGCGGGGCCAUAGUGGGAGUAUUAGGCCCAUAUUUUUAAGGAACAAAGUGUAAGUACCUUAUAAAACACAUAUCAUUAUUCAAAGCUUUAGCUGCUCCAACAACCCUCAAGCAUCUAUACACGUUUAUGUGGCCUGGUUCUAUUGGAGCAUUGUUGCUUUUACGGGUUGAACUAAAACGCCUUGGUUUGUCUCUGAUGAUUGGUUUAGUGGAAACAAAACCGAUUCAUAAAUGUUUACUCCAACCUAAUUCAAGUAGUCACAAAUUUUGCAGAUAGGAUAUCAUGACUCACAUCUGUUAAAUAGUUUUGUAUUUGUUAUUAAUUUGCUGUGAAUACCAUAUAGAAAAUACUACAUUGCGCUUUGAGCAUACCUAAUAAUUUCUCCAUUUUCAUGGUCUAAUCUGUAAAUUAAACACGGCUUAAGAGACGACUUGAUCAAGGAGUCGCGAGGAAAUGUCUCAUGUUCACAACUACUAGCUUUCAACGGAACGUUUAUCAUACACCUAGACUCAAAAUUGUCGGUCUUGCAUUGUUCAUUUUCCAGUGAGAGUAAAUUACACUUUGCACCAUCAAAUUUUUAAGAAAAAUUCAGUUUGGGCCUUUCAUGUCAAUCACUCCCAUUUAGGCUUAAUUUUUAAUGUGACCCUGCUGUUCAUCCGUUAUAUAAUAGAGUGACCUAAAGAGGGCUCGUGAUCUCUUUGAAAUAGAGAUGACAAUAAACGUUGCGCCGCUGCCUGGGGCAAACACCGCAUACUGUCGCGGGGAACGCGUGGCAGACCGCUGGGGUGAUAAAAAUAAAAAGCAUUUUGGUGGAUGGCUUUGCAGCCUUUCCCGCGUGCACACCCUACACCAAUUCCACCAUGCUAAAGUAAUAUAUAUUUAUAUAUUAUAUUAAAUAUUAUUUAAUGAAAAUGAUUAUAUAUUAUACUACUACUAAAUCUCAUAAAAUAUAGAAAGGAUAUAUUACAACUAUGGUCUUUUUCCUAAGUGAACAGUAAUCAUUUUCUUAUUGUUUAGUCUGUCUUUAGGUUUUUGCGUUUUGAAAGUAAAUGUUUGUGUUGACGAGGAAAAAAAAAACUGGAGCAAAGAACGAGGGUGAGAAAAUGCGAUCCCCGUAGAGGAUGGAAGUGUGGUCAAUUUAUCAUAGUCUGGAUCGGGGAGGAGAGAUACUGAUUAUUCAUAGUGGGGGAUAGGAUGGAAUUUAAGACAGAGGCCCAUGCCAUCAACUACCUAGAAAGGAUGGCUACCAUGGCCCUUAUUAGAUUGAAUGAAAAGCUAGACGGAAUAGCAAACAUGAUUACUUGGACCAAAAGUUGUGAGCCAUUAAGGAUAUAAGAAAGUAAAGUGAUAUAAUAGUACAGUUUAUGUAAAAUGAAGGGUUCUGAGUGUAAUUUACCUUAAUUUAGAAGAAAAAAAAGACAGUAAAAUACCACUUUGCUAAGCGAAAUAAACUUUUUCAGAAUUGUUGUUUCUUCUCCUCUAUUGAGCUUCGCUAAGUAAAAGGAAAGUGGUGGUAAGGGCCAAGUAGAGAAUUUUGUUGGGCUUAUUUUUCUUUGAUUCCACUCUCCUAAUUGAUAAUUCUUUCAAUUGAUAAUGCCCAAUCUCCUGAGUAUUAUCCCGUCGCCAAUCUUUCCACUUCAUGGACCAACAACGACUCGUUGGCACAUCCUAUGAUCCUAUCCGUAUCAUAACCUGCAACGCAUUCAUGUUAGAAGUAAGUUUUGUAUGUGGCUGUUGGGGUGACAGAGUAGAGGUGCCUGUCUUUUUGCCAUCCUCAUCUCCGCAGAUACUAAAUAGCAGAACCUCGAAUCGUUGGUCUGCAACCGGGACAGGCCAGUCCAGUGGACAAAAGCAACCCUUAACGAUUCACACAAAAUGGAGGAUUGAUUGGGCAAAUGGCCGAUGGCAGGAUUUGUCUGGUCUACAAACCACAUAGAGGGACAGCUGUUCUGGAUAUUAAAAUUUCACUGAAGAGGGAAAUAGUGCUUAUGCAAAAACAAUGAAUUUGUUUGGCAGUCUUUUGAUCACACACAGACUCCUUACUUCUUGCGGCAGAAAUAGGUCUUGGGAAGCAAGUUACGCCAGGCAUCCGAAUCAAACUGGAGUGAGGUUCGUUUUCGCUUGCCGUUCAGUAUGAGCUGCUGUUGUGGUCGCGGACAUUGAAUCCGACCCACCCCAGUUACUAGUUUAAACAAUAUUUAGAAAAACUAUCUAAGCGACGACGACCCAUAUAUCCAAUUUGAAAAUGGACGCCUUCAAGCGCUUCUCAAUUCCCCCCUGCAUCAGCAGCCAGUGCAGUUCAUGAAGUGGAAUCUGGACGGUCAUUUGAAGGUUUAUGAGUGGAAGAAUCUGAUUAUAAAUGGAUGGUGGUGGCGGAUAUGCUCACUCCUAUAUUGGUGACUGUGGGUAUCCAUUGGCAUGUGGGAAAAUACGGAUUUGUUAUUUCAGAAGGGCAGAGCUUUGUCCCAAGGAAGCCAACAGAACUGCCACAAGCUUUUUUAGGCAAAACAAACGAAGGAAAACCCAAACCCAGGAUUGCCCCCCCCGUUAUUGCCAUCUUUGAUGAUCUUGUCCCAAUAUAUAUAUGAUGGAGCUUAUAAACAUCCUACUUCAAAACUAUGGUCAAUAACCUACGAUGAAAUUCACUUAGGACUAACCGAUUUGGAGGAUGUUUUUUAAAUAGGAAAAAAAAAAAAAAGGGGGGGGGGGGGGGGGGCCACCAUGUUGAAAACAAUUGUUCGUCGCAGAGCCGGACAAUUAUGCAUUCAUGGAAUAUCUUAAGGAUGGGUUGCUUAUAGUAUCAGAAGUCUUUUUCUGUAAACACCGAGGGAGACGUAAUGCAUGUUCAGUGUGUCCUAAAGUGCAAAAAUCCUGCAGGGGGGGUUUGGGGCAGCAAAACUAGCAUCUCUCAAAAAAAGUCAAGGCGAGUCACAACAAUCAUAUGGGAUCCAGUUUUGGAGAUUUCUUUGGGGCUUUUAAAUGGCCGCUUGGGAUUUUCCUUUAUGGAAGGGAAAGGAGGACAAGGAACUUGGUGAGAUUUAAUAUCACCAAGUACAGAAUGGCUGCCAGAUUCUCUUAUGAAGCCUAACAACCUAAGACUAAUGAUUUUAGUACGAAGCUCGGGGAAGGAGGAUUUGGUUCAGUCUUCAAAGGUACGUUGCACAAUUGGCCCCAAAUAGCGGUGAAAGUGGUCUGCACGGUUUAGGUCAAGUUGAGAAGGUUCUUAUCUGAAGUGGAUGGACAAUAGGCGGCAUUCAUCAUGUAAAUUUGGGUAAGGCUGUGGUUCUGCGCGGAGAGAAACUUAGCUUCUCGUGUCUGAGUAUAUGGUCAACGGAUCUUGGACCAAUGGAUAUUUGACAGGCAACAAACGGGUCACUGUCUUGGGUGGCAAUCGAGAAGGGAGAUCAUCUUAGGACAUAAGCCAAGGGAUGAGCCUAUCUACACGAGGAUAAUUGCAGUCAUAAAAAUUUUAUGGAUAUCAAACCACAAAACCAUCCUCUUGGAUGAUACAUGAUGCAAGAAUAUUGCUUGUGGGGUUGUCAAAGUUAAUUGACAGGAUCAAAGCCAAGUGAUAAUGCAUUUGCGGGGACGCCGGGAUAUUUGGCCCAGAUGUUAACCCUGAACAUCGACUGAAAAAGUAGAUUUACAGCUUUGGUGUCGUCGGUAUUGGAAAUCUGUGGGUAGAAAUAACUUGGAUCGGUCUCAAAACCAUGGGCGGAGAGGCAUUAUUGAGUCUUUUGAAGCGAAAAGCGAAGAGGGGCCAACUGAACUUGAGAUUCAUCGAUGUGAAGACAAUGAUGAAAUGCGGCUACAAGAAGCAGAAGUCAUAAAGAUGAUGAGGGUUGCUAUGUGGUGUUUACAAAGUGAUUUUCCUAGGAGGCCUUCCAUGUCUGUGGUGGUUAAGGUCUUGGAAGGCUUGGUGGAUGUUGAAACCGACUUAGAUUAUAGCUUCACAACACCAAGAAGAAUUGCAGAUGCUGCUCACAAAAAGGAUGGUGCCUUAGGUGUUGCUAACUCAAUUGGCUUCCCUCAGCUUACGGGGACCCCAGGUAAAGGGAAGUUCAAAACUUUCAUAACAAAAUAAUAUAAAUAGAUUUGCUUUAGAGUUUGCGGUCAAAUCAUUUGUCUUUUUUUAGUUUAGAAGGUGUGAGAAUUGUGUGGGUUGUUAUGUUGCUUGGAAUUGAGUAUGGGUAAGCGGUGAUUGGUGAUAGUCUAUGCCAUGUCACAUUGUAUGCAAAAUGAAACCUAUGAAGAAAUAUGAGUACUUUUUAAUAUAAUCGUAUGACAUCGGACUCUUAAAUGAAUCCGAUACUUAGACAUGUACUCGUAUCUGUCACCCAUAUCCAAGUCUGUGUAACAUAGGUUAGUAUUUGGCUGCAACCUUCAAAAGGAAUUCAAACAGGUUGUGACACUGCAAUCACAAAAAUAAUCAGUAGCCUUCUAGUUUUGUUAAAUUGACCGUCUUCUUGUAAAAGACAUGUCAUAAGAGCUUCAAUAAUGGCGAAAAAAGGAAUACAACAUAGGCCUUCUAUUGUUGCCAUUCUCAACAGAGAAAUGCUAGGACCUUCACAUGUGCUGCACAAUUCAUAGCCCCACCAAAUUAAGAACAUAUAAAAAUAAAACUAAAAUAUCACAAUGGUCCUUUAUCCUUCUCAUAAUAUACAGUUAGUGGAGGUUAAGCAUAAAAUCAAGAUUAAAAAAAACAAGUUCAAUACUUCUCAACUUAAGAAAUCAUCAGAAUCUUAAAGAGUAAAAAGAGAUGUUUAAAAACGAAACCACAUCUCCACCCUUCGUGUUCGUCAAGAACUCGCCACUCUGCCUAAAACCAAGUACCCGGGCCUACCCUUCAUGCAAAUCAACGUUGUAUUAAUUAUGGUUUAUAAUUUGUAUCUCUUGAUACAUGAAUGAAGGUUUGAUACUUGAAUGAAGGUUUGAUUUUACAGCCCAAUACAAAGAACCCACCACCAGAAUAUGCAAUCAAAUUGUGGUAGAACUUGACAUCCGAUGGUUACUUGUGCUAAUUGUAACAAUGAUUGAUCAAAAAUACACUAUCUCUAUGAUUUGGUCACCAUAAUGGAAAAAAAAAGGAAGAAAAAUGAUAGAAAGUAAUGAAAAAUCUCAAUUUUCGGUAUUUUUCAUUGCUAAGUUAGCAGAAAAUUUGUGGAAUCCUCAGCUUUUUUAUGAAGAUUAAUUUUUUUCUCAAAACUUAUCAUGCAAAAAACAUAAGAUUUUUAAAGAAUUUUAGGUUUCAGUUAAUUUUAUUUAAAAAUUAAAUUAUAUUUUAGUUUUUGUGUAGAAUUUUUUUGUCAAAUGAACGCACCUAAGGAAUUAACUUUAUUUUAAUUUUUUAUUUUACUUUAAUUUAAUUUUCAUGUACAUAACUUAAUCAAUCCUUUAAAACUAAACAAAACUUUACCCUUUUUAUUCAAAAAAGUAAAGAAAAAAAAUGGAAAACCUAAAUUUCUUGCAUUUUCUAAUUGAUCAACUGACAGAAGACUUGUAGAAUCCUUCUCCUUAACCUUUCUAAUAAGAAUAGUUUUACCUCAAAACUUAUCUUGGAAAAACAAAAUAUUUUGCAAGAAUCUUACUUUCCCCUAUCAUAUUUUAGUUUUCCUACAAAAAAAUUUGGUCAAAUAACUACACCCAAAAAAAAUAUUAUUUUUUUCUUACUUCAUUUUAAUUCAGGUUUCCUGUAAAUAAUUUUUCCGCAACAAAUUGUUGACAACUUGAAUUUCUGUACUAUGAAAAGGGUAGAAAUGACCUUUUUUGUCUUUUAAUUUAAAAUUUUUAUUUAUUAUUGAAUACGGAGGUGGGGUUUCUAUGACACGCGCCGUGUGGCUUCCUUCCACGUCUCAGACCAAUCCCCUUCAAUUUCUGCUAAGCAGUUAAGAGAUUUGGAUGAGGGACUCCAAACCGCACUCAGGAAAUUAUAGAGUUGUAGUUGUUCAAAUUAGAUGUAUAGGGAUCAAACUGAAACUUUUGUCUAACUACAUAGAUCAACGGGAAGGUUUACCCAAACCAAUGACUACAAGGUAGUCAGAAUCGUUUACCUGGAUGAGUUUUUACUUCCUAAGGCACACACUAGUUACUGUGUUCCUCAAUACAAUGUAGGUUUUUGUGAAUGAGGCUUCACAAUGGAUGAUGAUUACCGUAAUGUGAUUGUGUCAUUUGGUAUGGGCAAUGAGGUGUUUUGCGAGAUGGAACUCCCGGAAACAUUGGCUACGGUUUUCCGUUGAACUUGGGACUUGACCUGGUUGGGAGUUUCAUCUCUAUGAUUUCUUUCGAUCAUAGUCGUGGUGAACAAUGUGGGUCUGUUUCUGUUUGGGUGAUGAAAGCAUAUGGUAUGGUAGAGUGUGGAAUAACCUAAGCCAAUACAAUGUUGCUUUGCAUGCAGGUUUAGCCCCAAUUUUUGGUAUUAGGGCAAGUGGAAAUUUGUUGAUUGUGAUUGGGGGUGGAGACUUGUUUUGUAUCACCCGAGUGUAAGUGUGUUGUGAACCUGAAAGGGAGUCGUUCGAAUUCUCGUUGUAUGCUGGAACGUACGUGGAAGCUUGUUUUGCUGGAGCGGAAUGAAUGGGAACUUGAAGGGAAAUGAAAAGUCCUAUGUGUUGCUUGAUUUACGGGGGAAAAGGGGGAAAGAUUGGAUGAUUUGGGCCGCAGUUGAGGAAGGCCUUGAGUUGGAAAUUCUCCCCUGCCACUUUGCUUUUUAACUAGGAAACCUGGGAGUUUCGACACUCAGUAUUAGUUUUUCAGUUGUUGACGUGAGUAUUGCGUGUCGCCGAACCAAGUUCCCAUUUCUUCUCGCCUGAAUGGAAAACACGACGGGAUUGUUACAUCUUUAGAGUCACCACAAGACUACAAUAACGAAUUACAACUUAAUUUUUUCCUCUUCCUGAGGGAAUUCCUAGAAAUAGUGUAUAUUGUUCUUUAGGUCAUGGUUCAAUGCUCGUUAGUUUCCGAUGUUCUGAAUUGCUUGGCAUUAUAGUAUGGUGCGUGAAAAUGUCCUGAAGGGACUAUUUAUAAAUAUUACGAUAGUCGGAGUUUUGAUGAUGCGGCUCACUUCAAAAGAAAAUCAGCGUUGUGGGGCAUUCAAAAGAUAUUCGCUACGUGGAUAGCAUUUGUUGGAUGUGAUACAAUUGGGGGAUUGCAUGGGCAAGUGAUUUCUUAUGGUCUAGUUGAUUUAGUGGGAAAUCAUGUUUUGACUAUGGAUAUAGAGGGGAAAGAAGUUGAUGAGGAAGAACUGGAAAUGAGGCUUUCUAUAUAAUUGGUAUUAAUUAAGAUCAAUUUAGUGUUUGGGGUUUAGACAUUAGAAAUUGAGCCCAAACUACAAAGAAUGGGGACCUUAAUCCCUAACCCAGAAAGAAUUAUGGUAUGGAUAACGAGGAAGAAGGGAGGCAAUCUAGAGUUUUGAUUCGUUCUGUGAUGGGGGAUGCAGAACAAUGUACAUAAUGUUCUCUCUGUCUAGUCUGAAUUGUAUUCUCUCUAACAAUGUAUUUGCUAACAACACCAGUCCGUAUUAGGAAUUGGCCCAAUAUUCAAUUAUUUUAAUGUUCCACUCAGGGGCGAAGCCAGGAGUUUUAAGCUUGGGGGGCUAAAGUUAAAAAAAACUUAAUACUAUUUCAGAGGAGCUAACCAGUGUUAAAAAUAAUUUUUUUUUAGUGUAGAAUUUAAAUUUUUUGAAAGUGAGGGGGGCUGCAGACCCCUCCUUGCCAUGCCUUGGUACGCCCUGAUUCCACUAGGUGUCGAGCUCGUGUUAUUGAGCUUGGCACUUAUCCAAUGAAUUACAAACAAUAAUGAACAAAUAUAUGGUGUUAUCACUAACCAAUUUGGGAGAAGAAAAUAUCGUUUUACUUCAUAAUGGUUUUUUCAGUUCAGUGCAAAUAAUCAAGUUCUCGCUACUAAGCCCAACACUAGUGAAGUGAAGUGAAACCUAUUUAUGAAAUAUUUAGUAAAACCUUUUGAUAGGAAAAUCACAAGAUUGGGCAAUAAAAAGUUGUACCAAACCAGCUUAUAAUUUAUUUUAAGCCUUUAAGUUAAUAAAAUAAAAUAAACAUAAUUUAAAUGGCCAAUUAUAAAUGAUACCAAACAAGCCAUUUGAAUUACAUAUUUUUUUUUCUUAUUUGAAAUUGUUAAAAUACGUAUACAAACAAAUGAAAUGACACUUUUUUCAUUUAAAAUACCUAAGCACAAAAGGACAUUUUGGAUAUUUAUAUCGCAAAAAGAACUAAACACUAUUACCAAAAAAUGUUAAAUUAGUUGUAAGUUCUUACCGGUAAUAAUAUUGGAAGUCAAUAUUUUAAAAAACGCGUAACUCAUAAGUGAUACAAAAUAUGGUACAUUCUUUAUUAACAACAUAGAGUGCAAAAUAUCAAUGAGAAAUUAGGAGCUGCAACUCGAGCAUGUUGGGGGUCCAACUGUGGGCCCCCGCAUUUGGUGUUCCAGAGGUUACCCAAGUCCGUUUAAGUCAGGUGUCAAGAUCUAGGUAUUUUUACCUAAGCUAGACCCAAGUUUCAUCUUGUAAACUAAAGUUAGGCUCAGGAUGUCAUGAAAAAUCAAAACAAAAUUUGUUGUACAAAUCAAUUUAACACGAUUCUUAUUUAUGAGUGAUAGUCCGUGUUUUAUUUUGAAAAAAAUAAUGGGAACAAAAAAUGAUAUGAACCUAGAAUUGCUCACGACUUAUAUUGAUAACUCAGAUUUCAUUAAACAGCGAUACAAACUAAUCAACAAAUAUUGCAAUUAUAUAUAAUUAUACAUAUCACAUAAUCAAACUUGGCCUUAGGUUAGUCAGGUUACCCAAACCCUUUGCCCAAGUCAACCCAAAAUUGGGGCUCUAAAAUUAUGCUUCAGUAUAUUUCCCAACCACUCAAAUUUGUCAGACACAUUUAUUGUUUCCAAUGAAAUUAGAGAUUCUUUGGCAAGUUUUUCUUUGUUUGUGUUGUUUUUUCUUUUCUUCAGAUUUGGAGGAUCUCUUUGUGGAAAU
rnacentral:lncRNA from 1 species